CCCUUAGAUGUUCUGGGCCGCACGCGUGCUACACUGAGUAAUUCAAUGGGUAAGGGAACGCUAGAGCAUUACCUAAUCUUGAAAUUUGCUCGUGAUGGGGAUCGACGGUUGCAAUUUUCCGUCGUGAACGAGGAAUACCUUGUAGGCGCAUGUCAUCAUUAUGCGCCGAAUACGUCCCUGCCCUUUGUACACACCGCCCGUCGCUCCUACCGAUUGAGUGAUCCGGUGAGGCUCUGGGACCUGGACGGAAAGAGCGUUUCGCUUGUUCUGUUUGGGAAACUUGGUCGAACCUUAUCAUUUAGAGGAAGGAGAAGUCGUAACA
rnacentral:rRNA from 1 species